AUGUUAAUUAGUUCUCUCUCAUUGCGGUCGAUAAUUUGGAAACAAGAAUGCAAGGUUGGAAAUUAACGUGAGUACAAUUUUUCAGUCCGUUACACGAGUUUCAAGCAUAAACAUACAGCAAAACUAGCAUUUGUUGACUUUAUUUACUACCAAAUGCAAAUGCGAGGCAAAAGCGGCUGUGAUGUCUACACGCAAAAUUUUACAAGAUGCGUACCUAGGUAACCAUAAUUCAUCUAUUUAUUUCUUGCUUGCUGUAAUCUAUGAAGUGAUCCGUUCAACACUUUCAUCAAUGGAAUAUGGCGGAGAUUGAUCGGAGUGAGAGCCGAUGAUCGGGUUGCUGAGUCGACAGAAAAUACCCGACAACACCUGCGACUGGGGAUCUCCGAAUGUUGAAAAUGACGUGUUGCAUCGCGCGAUUGCUGAAACAAUCAAUUGUUGCAACAGAAACCGAAAUAGCGAGGAUAAUCGCCAAUACGUUUGGUCUAUUUUAGACAUUGACGUGUAUUUGUUCUGUAAUCUUUUAUAAUUUGUCACCAUUUAUAAUCUAUACGAAUUUCUUUGAGUUGUCUAAAUUAUAACAAAAUAAUAAUUCUAGGAUUAGGAUUUAAAGGAUUCCAAACCAUGCCGAGUAAAAGGUUGGUCAACAUAAAGAUGUGAACGACCAAGGACCACGUAUUGAUGUUGUUUAUGAGCAUAGCGAGUGCGCGGACACAGCUAUCCGGUCACCGGCGGUUAUGUAAACUGUAGUUAUAGAGAAGUGACCGCACUGUAGAUAUAAAUGAACACAGUAAAGGAGUGACCGACCGGUGAUAGGGCGAGCGACCUGUACUCAACAUACAGAUUUAUACUGCCCAAUGAUGUCAAAGGCUCAUUAAAUAACCCAGAUACC
rnacentral:sRNA from 1 species